rnacentral:sRNA from 1 species
UUGCGUUAGGGAUUGAAGUGAAAAUCCUUUUUAAUAUUAUGAUUAAUAAAGGUUAUUAAAGAACUAUAAAUUAGAAAAUAACAUCGUCUUCCUUCCUUGAAAUGACGUUUAAAAAGAUUGUAAUGAAAAGCCCGACCUAAA